rnacentral:rRNA from 1 species
CCUACGGGUGGCAGCAGUGAGGAAUAUUGGUCAAUGGGAGAGAUCCUGAACCAGCCAAGCCGCGUGAGGGAAGACGGCCCUAUGGGUUGUAAACCUCUUUUGUCGGAGAACAAAACCCGGGACGUGUCCCGGACUGCGUGUAUCCGAAGAAAAAGCAUCGGCUAACUCCGUGCCAGCAGCCGCGGUAAUCAGGAGGAUGCGAGCGUUAUCCGGAUUUAUUGGGUUAAAAGGGUGCGUAGGCGGUCCGUUAAGUCAGCGGGAAAAUUGCGGGGCUCAACCCCGGCGAGCCGGUGAAACUGGCAGACUUGAGUUGGCGAGAAGUACGCGGAAUGCGCGGUGUAGCGGUGAAAUGCAUAGAUAUCGCGCAGAACUCCGAUUGCGAAGGCAGCGUACCGGCGCCAGACUGACGCUGAGGCACGAAAGCGUGGGGAUCGAACAGGAUUAGAUACCCUUGUAGUC